GCCUUCGUAGCUUCAACGGCAGAGCACCGCUUUCGUAAAGCGGGGGUUGAGGGUUCAAAUCCCUCCGAAGGCU
rnacentral:tRNA from 1 species